UUUUUUUUUUUUCUAUUGGAGAAAAAUUGUUUAGCAAUUGGGUUGAAUGAUGGGUGUCGGUGGAUUUUUUUUGUCUUCCAUGAUCUCAUGAUCCUGUGUUUGAGUUUGAAUGGAAGUUUGGUGGAACCUUGGAGUCGUGGUUCUGGUUUGUAGUUAAAGCAUACUUUUUGAAGCCUGAAUUACACGACAAACCCUAUUAUGGUAAAAAGGAUACUCUUGGCUGGAAAAUUUGUGAAUUUUAGCCCAAAACAUGCAUCAUUUCAUUUCUAGCAUUUAUUUUUGACAUUCUGUUAUUAAAAAAGAUGGGUAUAUACUAGUUGCUUUUGACUAUGUGAAGGAAGAGUUUCAGUUGCUGCCAUAGCCAGAAUAUACCGAAGUGUUGGACCACAAUCAUCUUAUGGUUUUUGGAGGAGGAUUGUGUGUGUUAUCAUUUAGUCAUGAAAAUCAGCCUACGCUCUUUUUGAUGAAGCACUAUGGAUUGAGAGAUUCUUGGAACAAGUGACAUGGCCACUUGGGGAUAUUCCUUUUGGAUUUAAGUUUGUUAGGCUUUAAUGUAAUCAAAGAGGCGUGAUAAAAUGCUCUUACACAUCUCAGGGAGAGCUUCAGUUAUAUGACUUAGAAGAGAGAAAAGUUUCAGCAACCGGGAUCUGUGAUGGACUGCCUAAAUUUACUGUUUUGAUUUGUUUGGAACGCCAUGUUAUGCUUGGUGAAGAUGAUGAGUUUGAUGGAGCUCUCCAAUCUGUUAGUAAUAAUGCUUCUUGUAGCAGGAAUGAAGACGAACUGCUCAACGAGAAAAGCAUCUGAAAUGUUGCUCUCUGUGACAGCAUAAUUCGUCCGUCUGUCAAAGGUAUUGCUUCCAUGACAGGCUUGUUAGAACUUGAAGAUUUUCUCUGCAUAUGCUGGGAGUUCAUAUGCUUUGAUUUUGUUUAAGAAGAUUGUUCUCAUCAUUUGUUUGGAAUCCAAAACACGUUUGAUCUUCAACAAAGAAAGAGUAGCUGUUCAAAGUGUUUUGAUGGGCCACUUCUUUUGUCUCGUCUCUCUCUUAUUCUUUUUUUGAGAACAGGGGAUUCAAACCCUGAUUAUUAAGGUGAUACACACUAUCCUUAUCAUUGUAAUUAAUGGCUCGGGGUGGCUCGAUCCUCUUUUACCACUUGUGGUUUCAUUGGAUCUGAAUAUAAUGCAAAAUUUCCAUUUAA